UGUGCAAAGCUUAUCGUGACUUGUUUUCGCGAAGAUUUGUUAUUAGGGACUUGUCUUUCAAUGAACUUUACAGGGACAUACCAUUUUCAAUAUCGAAGUUGAAACAACUAGAAGCUCCGAAAGGAUUCAUCUGCUGCUGAUUAGUCGAUUGAUUUAUUUGUGCAAUAAAAAGCUCAAUUUUUUGUCAUCUCAAAUGGUGUUCCAGGAUCUUGAAGAAUAAUCAAUUGACAGACCCAAUCCCAUCCACCCUCUCUCAAAUUCCAAAUUUGAAAAUAUUGUAAAGUUCUGAAACCUGCCUUUAAGUUGCAAACUUGUGAUCAUUAUCACGUUGUUUCAAGGGCUAGAUAAGUACAAAUUUGAUUCAAUUCAUUCAUCGUUUAUUCAGAGACCUUGCACAGAAAUAUCUAACAGGGGACAUCCCAAGGCUUAUAUACUGGAAUGAGGUUUUGCAAUAUCUUGGGCUUCGGAGAAACAAUUUGGGCGGGACACUCUCACCUGAUAUGUGCCAGCUGACUGGGUUAUGGUCUUUGUAACUUUAAUGUUAGGAACAACAGUCUGACGGGAAAUAUACCUGAGAGUAUAGGCAACUGUUAAACUGUACUGCCUUCCAAGUAUUGUUGGUGAGGGGAUAAAUGAUGCACCUUCUUUGGCGCUUGCAGACGUUGGAAUCGCUUUGAAAACUGGGAUGCAAGAAAAUGCUGCAUCUGAUACUGCUUCCAUUGUACUUCUUGGGAACAGGCUGUCACAGGUUGUUGAAGCUGUUGAUCUUGCUCGUGCGACUAUGAGCAAAAUACAUCCAAAUUUGUUGUGGGCAGUUGCAUAUAAUGUUGUUACAAUUCCAAUUUCCAGUAGCUGCUGGUGUACUGCUUCCUCAUUUUGAUUUUGCUAUGACGCCUUCUUUAUCAGGUCGUCUAUCGGGACAAAAAUCUUCCCCGAUGUCUUGGCUUAUGAUAUUUCAGAAAUUCUCAAGCUUGCUGCUGCUGUAGAGAAAACAACAUCACAUCCUCUUGCAAGUUGCAAAUGCUAUCUUAAGUAAAGCAGAGUCAUGUGGUUUGCAGAUUCCAACCACAAGUCGACAAUUAACAGAGCCAGGUUUUGGAACCUUAGCUGAAGUAGAUCGACGUUAGUAGGUUCUUUGGAAUGGGUUUGUCAACGUUUUGAAAGGAAGAACCAAUCAGAUAUAGAACAUUUGGAGCGUGCCUUGGUGCUUGAGUCAGCCAAACCAACUUCAUCAUUGGAUAAAUCGGAAACGGUGGUUUAUGUUGGACGUGAAGGAGAGGGUGUCAUUGGUGCUAUUGCAAUCUCUGAUGCCUUAAGGCAUGAUGCUGAAGCUACUGUAGCACGGUGACAGGGAAGAAGCAGUUACAAAAGUCGCGAAAAUCAUUGGAAUAAAUGAUGAACAUGUACCAUCCCUGAAUCCGCAGCGGAAAUCUCAAUUUAUAUCAGAUAUACAAGCUUCAGGACAUCGUAUUGCUAUGGUUGGUGAGGGGAUAAAUGACGCACCUUCUUUGGCGCUUGCAGACGUCGGAAUCGCUUUGAAAACUGGGAUGCAAGAAAAUGCUGCAUCUGAUACUGCUUCCAUUGUACUUCUUGGGAACAGGCUGUCACAGAUGUUAUUUGCUUCAAUAUCUUUUAACAUAAGCUGUCAUUAUCAGACAACCAUUUAAGGAAAAUGUAGCAAGUAAAAAAAAGCGAAGGUAGUAUGUCCUAAAAUACCUGUCUGGCUGUCUGCUCUGGCAAAAGCUAACUGAGUGACUUUUUCUGUAUCGGUUGUAUCAGGUGGGCUAAUGGCUUUGAGUUUAAUAUUUGUCGUCUCCAAUUCUCUUCUACUGCAGCUCCAUGGUUCCAACAAAGAGAAGGAAGAGAUCACCUCAGGAACACUGAAACAAGCCUGAAAUUAUAGGGUCAUUGUUCAGACAUGUUACCAACAUUGGAAAAGAGAUUAGGGUUCAAAGAUUCUUGUAAAUCUGUGUUAAUACUCACAGAUUUUAUUCUAAAAUGUAUCAUAUUUCUUUGGCCCUUAGAAAGAGCCUGUAUUCAAUGUAGAGAUCUGUGUAAAAUUGUACCAGAAAUCAUUUUAUCGCUAGAACACUUUCCUUCCCCUGAAAUUUGGUAAUUUUACUAUCUCAGUCACCGAUUUUACUC